rnacentral:rRNA from 1 species
AAGGAGCGCCGUUUGAAUAAGGCGGCGCGGUGACGGUACCUCACGAGAAAGCCCCGGCUAAUUACGUGCCAGCAGCCGCGGUAAUACGUAGGGGGCGAGCGUUGUCCGGAAUUAUUGGGCGUAAAGCGCGCGCAGGCGGUCCUUUAAGUCUGAUGUGAAAGCCCACGGCUCAACCGUGGAGGGUCAUUGGAAACUGGGGGACUUGAGUGCAGGAGAGGAGAGCGGAAUUCCACGUGUAGCGGUGAAAUGCGUAGAGAUGUGGAGGAACACCAGUGGCGAAGGCGGCUUUCUGGCCUGUAACUGACGCUGAGGCGCGAAAGCGUGGGGAGCAAACAGGAUUAGAUACCCUGGUAGUCCACGCCGUAAACGAUGAGUGUUAAGUGUUAGAGGGGUCACACCCUUUAGUGCUGUAGCUAACGCGAUAAGCACUCCGCCUGGGGAGUACGGCCGCAAGGCUGAAACUCAAAGGAAUUGACGGGGGCCCGCACAAGCGGUGGAGCAUGUGGUUUAAUUGGAAGCAACGCGAAGAACCUUACCAGGUCUUGACAUCCCCUGACAACCCAAGAGAUUGGGCGUUCCCCCUUCGGGGGGACAGGGUGACAGGUGGUGCA